UUCAAGCCUGAAAAGUUCCCUUAGCAACCGCAUCGGUCCGUAUUCACAAGGAGGGGCUGCCGGGGAGGGGGAGAGAAAUCACCGCAGAAUAAGAUACUCUCGUUUAUAGAUUAGUUGUAUAAAGCCAACUCAACGGCGAUUCAAAUUCAUGACCAACAUUACCCGUGUGCUUUUGCACAUUGGCAUUCUGAAACGGGACAUUUUAGGCAAAUUUUAGGUGUGAAGCUUAUUAGAUGAAUAAUUUACUUUCUUCAAACAACUAAAUCAAUCCUCCUGAGUCACGACUCAAUGGCUAGAUACUCCAAUUCUGAAUAUAGUGACUCGUUGCGGACAGUCGCCCUAAUCCUGUUCGAGUUUUCUUUUCACCCUGUGACGAAGUUUCGCAUUUCUUGAGUUAGAACAUGACCAUAAAUUCCAUUUUUAAGAGUACAAACGGACUUCGAACGAAUGCACGUGCCUUACAAGGCGCAAUCCUACAUUUUUUUACUUUACAUUUAUGCUUUGUUUUCUUGAUUUUUGUAACACAUGGAUUGUAAUUUAAUCGAGCCUUCUUUGUUUGAAUGUAGGAAUUUGAAUAGAGAAAACAUCAAUGCCAAUAUAAAGACAAGCACGUCCAUUACAAAUAGGUAGUUUUGUUCCUCUUGUUGUCAGUACACUGUAGCUAACAAAGACUGGUAUAAGUUUACUUCCACACCGUUGUUUGGAUCUUUUCAGUAAAAUGCACUUGAACAAAAAUAAAAAAAAGACUAAUAGUAUUUCAGUGUUUAUGGUACUUGAAAGAUCUCUAUUUUUCCAAUCAGCCGCGAAAGAAGUUGAUUCUUUUAAAAAACGAAACCGACUCCUCUCUAUUUUAAAAAAAACACAUCGCCUGUGUAUCUUUUCUUUGUUCAUUAGGUUUGUUAGUUCAAUUUGUCAGCUUUCAUCAGAGAUCUGAUCUUUUAGUUGAGCAAAAUAGUGUGUGUAACGUGAUUUGAAUUCAUUCGUUAGCCACAGAGGCUAAAAUUAAUUUAUUUUAACGAGUAAACUGUUAUAUGUCGUAGCAACAGUACCCUAUACAAACGUAUUUGUGAAUCUCGUAUUUUUUUCGCCGUCCAUAAAACAUUUCUAAGUUAUAUGAAUAGCAAUAAUUUAUUCGUUUAUAUUGCAAGUUACUUGCCUUUGUAAUAGACAGCAGAGCUACAAGCAAGAGUGAGGCGUGUGUUAAUAUCGCCGUCUGCUGGCAGACUCCUUUCAAUGAUGCCACUUUUACUCACUGCCAUUUAGAAAAACGCUAUUAAGCAAGAAAAAUACUAAUUUAUCAUAGAAAGCUACGGAGUUGUGAUGAAUCCCUACUGUGAAUUAGCUAACUGCUAAAAAAAGGCAGUACCUUAAAAAAAACAAAUUGUAGUUUCACAUUCAUUUCAUCUUUAUUUCCAAACGACUAGAUAAAUUAGACUUCUGUUCGGCUAGAAGGAAUGAAAUUUCUGAGCUGCUCGUUGAAGGUUGCAACAAGUUCGAGCGCACCCAAUCGCUGACAUGUAGAAUUAACAAAGCGGGCGAGUUUUACUUUCAACCAACUGAUUUCGGGAUUAGACAACGGGCAUUGAAAUGGAUGUAACGGGCAAACGGAAGAAAGUUCACACAAUCGUAACGCGAUUUCCUGGACCUGA